GGAAAAAUUCGAUAGUUUUUUCGAAAGCCUUAACAUUUCGGAAUCAUCUUUGAAGAAUAUAGGGAAGAAAGUAACUUGAUACAGUCUAUACAUUCGUAAUACCAUAUGGCAUAUACCUGUUCAAUACAUUUAUAUUAUUACGCCUUCCUUGCAUUGAAAACACUCAAAUUUCAAGAAUGCGCUAUAAAAACUGUCAAUAUUUUAAACUGGAAAUAUUUUAAAGUGGAAAACGGGCUUAAACCAUGUCGAACGACUACCAUCGGAUCCUGUGCGACUGGGAUAAGACUCCUUAAAGUAAUUUAAAUUCAACUGUAUUGACUGACCAGUCAAAUUCAAUAGUAGAAAAUUACCUUAUGCGUACUGUAUUAAAGAACAAAAUAUCGAAACUAUGUGUGACAUUUUAAAGGGGUCUCCAGAGAAACGAACAUAUCACGUUUCUCGUGGACAAAAUCGAUAUGCGAG